rnacentral:rRNA from 1 species
AGCGAACGCUGGCGGCAGGCCUAACACAUGCAAGUCGAACGGAUCCUUCGGGAUUAGUGGCGGACGGGUGCGUAACACGUGGGAACGUGCCCUUUGGUUCGGAACAACCCAGGGAAACUUGAGCUAAUACCGGAUGUGCCCUUCGGGGGAAAGAUUUAUCGCCAUUGGAGCGGCCCGCGUCUGAUUAGCUAGUUGGUGAGGUAACGGCCCACCAAGGCGACGAUCAGUAGCUGGUCUGAGAGGAUGAUCAGCCACACUGGGACUGAGACACGGCCCAGACUCCUACGGGAGGCAGCAGUGGGGAAUCUAACGCAAUGGGCGAAAGCCUGACGCAGCCAUGCCGCGUGAAUGAUGAAGGUCUUAGGAUUGUAAAAUUCUUUCAGAGGGGACGAUAAUGACGGUACCCGCAGAAGAAGCUCCGGCUAACUUCGUG